rnacentral:rRNA from 1 species
UACGGGGGGGAGCAAGCGUUGUUCGGAUUUACUGGGCGUAAAGGGCGGGUAGGCGGCCACCGCAAGUCAGUUGUGAAAUCUCCGGGCUUAACCCGGAAAGGUCAACUGAUACUGCGGGGCUAGAGUGCGGAAGGGGCAACUGGAAUUCCCGGUGUAGCGGUGAAAUGCGCAGAUAUCAGGAGGAACACCCAUUGCGAAGGCAGCUCGCUGGGACGUUACUGACGCUGGAGACGCGAAAGCGUGGGGAGCAAACAGG